rnacentral:rRNA from 1 species
UACGGAAGGGGCGAGCGUUGUUCGGAAUCAUUGGGCGUAAAGGGCGCGUAGGUGGUUCUGUAUGUCUACCGUGAAAGCGUACGGCUCAACCGUAUUUUGUCGGUAGAAACUGCAGGACUUGAGGCUGGGAGGGGCUGGUGGAAUUCCCUGUGUAGCGGGUUGAAAUGCGUAGAGAUAGGGGAGAACACUGUGGCGAAAGGCGGCCACUGACCAGUUCUG